UGGCUCAGAUGGUAAAGUGUCUGCCUGCAAUGCGGGAGACCCGGGUUCGAUUCCUGG
rnacentral:tRNA from 1 species